rnacentral:rRNA from 1 species
UACGGGGGGAGCAAGCGUUGUUCGGAUUUACUGGGCGUAAAGGGCGCGUAGGCGGCCAGCACAAGUCAGUUGUGAAAUCUCCGAGCUUAACUCGGAAAGGUCAACUGAUACUGUGCGGCUAGAGUGCGGAAGGGGCAACUGGAAUUCUUGGUGUAGCGGUGAAAUGCGUAGAUAUCGAGAGGAACACCUGCGGCGAAGGCGGGUUGCUGGGCUGACACUGACGCUGAUGUGCGAAAGCUAGGGGAGCGAACGGG